CGGAGCUGCCGGAGCUCGUCCCCGCCGCCGUGAGCCGCCGUGCGCCCCCGCCUCAGCUCGCCGGAAGUCCCUCGGCCCUUGUGCGCCUCAACCGGCGCCGGAUCCGCCAUUCCUCCGCCGAACCAGCUCCGGAUCUGCCCUCCUUCGCCCCCAACCAGCAGCAAUCAGAGAGUUGGAAAAUGGGUAUGCAGCGGACGUUUGGCUCGUUUUGGCCGCCUUCCCGAGCCCGGAUGCUCGGCCCGCUUUGAGGAAAGUCGAUCCUCGCGUCGUCCUCGUCGUUUUGGUUCGCUCGGCUCGCUAAUCCGGUCCCUGAUGGACGGAGCGGCCAGAUAGCUUUGGUUGGCCUUGAAGAGUUGGAGAAGUGAAGUCAUAAGGAUUGGAGAUCGUGUGCGUCUUGUAGGUCGUAAGAUAAUCUCUUUUUAAGAGCCAGUCUUUUGUAGACUUUUGGCCGUAGACCUCUGUUUGUAAUUUCGUUGAUUUACGAAAGUGUUAUGUUGUGAUUUUGUUUCCUGCUUUUCUAUCCCAAGUUAAAUGUUGUCA